AAAAAAAAAACCCAAUUAUAGUAAAUUAGGCUUUCAAAUUUGCAGCUACAGCCUACAAGUGAAGAAAUUUGGUAAGAACAAAAGCUUGGAAGGUUAUCCUGUAAUAAAAACUCUUUAAUUACUGAGUUAAUAAUUUAGCUAAGGUCCUGGAAAAACAACUUUUUUGGAUUUGAAGGUAAGGUAUGAGUGAAGGUUUUGUAAAGGAGGUAAGGUUUAGAGACCCUCACAUUUUCAACCCACCAAAAUGGUCAGUUGGGAAGUUUUUCUUACCUUACCUUCUAUAUUACCUUACCUCAUAAAACCUUCUCUCACUUCAUCCAAACACACCAGAAAGGAAAAGAAAAUUUCAAAUUUAAUCAUUUGUGUUUGUAAUAUUUGCGUGAGAACCAUCAAUGAAGUCAUUAUUCACAAAAAAGAAAAGGAGAAGAAGAGGAAAUAAAAAAUACUAAGAGGAAAGAUAGAGAGAGCAAACUAAAUGGAUUCAAAAGGUUGCAGUAUCAUAGCAAUCAAGGUCGUUUUCUUGAAAAAGGAAACAGAUUCCAAAGGCACUGGAAUUAUGCACAAUAUACUGACAAAUUCUGCUUUAGUUGCAAGUACUUAGUAAUUGGGCAAAUUCAAUUGAUGGAAUAAAUCAUUCAUUGUAGUUUCACUACCAUGAACUCAAUCAGAAACCUUCAAUAAACUCAUAACUCUUAAACUGCAACUAAAUCAGCAUUGAUUCAUGAUCAAACAUCAAAGAAGGAUCUAACAAUAAUUUCUGCCAAGAUAAGAAAGCAAUAUAGUUCCACAACAAUCCAUUCAUAAAAUACUAUAAUUAUCCAUACAAAAUAUCUUCUUUAUGUACGCUAAAUUAACCAAUCAAGGUUAACAAAUGCGUUGGAAAAAAAAAGCCCUAAAUUGAAACAACAUCCUACUAAACACAAAUUACUUUCUACCUGUCAUGAAAUUGCGAAUCAAAACGGAAAAAAAACUCCAUUCUUUCAAUUGCAAAAAGAAUAAAAACAGUGAUCGCAUCAUUCAAAUAAAAUCCAUAACUAAAGGCAACAAUAACUCCACUAAACAGCAGGAAAAGGGGGAAAAAAACAUAAACCGCCAUUCCAUUACAAGAUCGUCAAGGGCAUUCAUCAUCAUUAGUUUCAUUUCAUUUACUUCCGAUCAAAUAUUUUCAACGCAAACAAACAGAAAAGCUACGAAAAAAAAAAUAUAGUUACAGGAUUUGGCAAGCUUGAAGGAAUUGGCAGCUUUAUCGAAGAGAUCAGCGGCGUCUUCAAAUUUGGAGCCGAAUAAGCCCCAACCAUUAAGCUUCUUCUCGGCUUUCUUCUCGAAUUCCUCUCCUCGAGCUAUCUGAUCUCCCAUUUUCAGAGGCUUUUCUUUUUCUAAAUAACCAGUGAAUUUUGAAUGGGAGACUAUUAAGCAAAAGAAAAAAUCGAGGAAGGAAAUGACUUCGUCGAGAUUGAAGUUGUCCAAGGAAAGGAAAGAAAGAGGAAGGAAAGGAAAGAAAUACCGUGUCGUGCUUUUGAAAAGUAAAAACCUGGAAUUGGAUUGUCGUGUUCUUGUCUCGAUUAGGCUGGUUCUAGUUUUGGUUUCUGUUCUGGGUCUGGUUAUUAAUGGAGAUGGCAAGCUGUUGCAUUGGGCCAGGCCGCCUAGUUGUUCUUUUUUUUUUU
rnacentral:misc_RNA from 1 species